rnacentral:rRNA from 1 species
AACGAACGCUGGCGGCAUGCCUAACACAUGCAAGUCGAACGAGACCUUCGGGUCUAGUGGCGCACGGGUGAGUAACGCGUGGGAACCUGCCCUUAGGUUCGGAAUAACUCCCCGAAAGGGGUGCUAAUACCGGAUAAUGUCUUCGGACCAAAGAUUUAUCGCCGAAGGAUGGGCCCGCGUUGGAUUAGCUAGUUGGUAGGGUAAAAGCCUACCAAGGCGACGAUCCAUAGCUGGUCUGAGAGGAUGAUCAGCCACACUGGGACUGAGACACGGCCCAGACUCCUACGGGAGGCAGCAGUGGGGAAUAUUGGACAAUGGGCGAAAGCCUGAUCCAGCAAUGCCGCGUGAGUGAUGAAGGCCUUAGGGUUGUAAAGCUCUUUUACCCGGGAUGAUAAUGACAGUACCGGGAGAAUAAGCUCCGGCUAACUCCGUG